GAUGAACGCUGGCGGCGUGCCUAAUACAUGCAAGUCGAGCGAACGGACGAGAAGCUUGCUUCUCUGAUGUUAGCGGCGGACGGGUGAGUAACACGUGGAUAACCUACCUAUAAGACUGGGAUAACUUCGGGAAACCGGAGCUAAUACCGGAUAAUAUUUUGAACCGCAUGGUUCAAAAGUGAAAGGCGGUCUUGCUGUCACUUAUAGAUGGAUCCGCGCUGCAUUAGCUAGUUGGUAAGGUAACGGCUUACCAAGGCAACGAUGCAUAGCCGACCUGAGAGGGUGAUCGGCCCCACUGGAACUGAGACACGGUCCAGACUCCUACGGGAGGCAGCAGUAGGGAAUCUUCCGCAAUGGGCGAAAGCCUGACGGAGCAACGCCGCGUGAGUGAUGAAGGUCUUCGGAUCGUAAAACUCUGUUAUUAGGGAAGAACAUAUGUGUAAGUAACUGUGCACAUCUGGACGGUACCUAAUCAGAAAGCCACGGCUAACUACGU
rnacentral:rRNA from 1 species